rnacentral:rRNA from 1 species
GACGUAGGGCGCGAGCGUUGUCCGGAAUUAUUGGGCGUAAAGAGCUCGUAGGCGGUUUGUCGCGUCUGCUGUGAAAACGCGAGGCUCAACCUCGCGCCUGCAGUGGGUACGGGCAGACUAGAGUGCGGUAGGGGAGAUUGGAAUUCCUGGUGUAGCGGUGGAAUGCGCAGAUAUCAGGAGGAACACCGAUGGCGAAGGCAGAUCUCUGGGCCGUAACUGACGCUGAGGAGCGAAAGCGUGGGGAGCGAACAGG